rnacentral:sRNA from 1 species
CUGUACCUCAGCAAAAGGGAAGACCAUCCAAGGUCUUAAAGUACCAAAGGGAGAAAAAACACUGAGAUUCAUACCCUGGUGUGGGCUGGGACUUCAUGAGUGUUAUGAGUGGGUCUGAAUUGUGACAAGUUGUUAUCUCUUGACAGGUUGGAGAAGGGUAUCAAGUGAUGAUCAUUCUAAUUCCUGACCAGGAAGUAGGCCCAGAUUACUGUUUUGCUGAAAAUGAGGAGGAGUUUUUUCAUCCAAGAAGAACUGGGCCUCCUUACAUUCGGGUGGAUUCAUAAUUGGAAUUUUCACAUUGGCACCUACUGGACUAAAAGAAAAUAUCCCAUUGUCCACUGAGGGGGUUCCAUUCCCACAAACAGGACACAGGUCUCUUUUGUGACUGUUUCCAUGUCACCAUCCAGAAUACUAUGGUGACUAUCACAGUUUUGAACCAGUGGAAGGGAAAGCCCUUG